ACACAUCACAUGUGUGGCUUUGAUUAAGGCUGUGAGGGUGUGCUGCUGCAGACAUUCCUGUAACCCUCCUAAGCAUUAGCAAUGUUCCUUUCUGCCCAGGCUGCGUUACCCAUUGCCCUUUUCUUCUGAUAAUUACUCUGCUUUCCAUCUCCCAGACUAUUGUUUCAUGCUGGGGCAGGCUUGUAAAUACCUAAGAAAAAAAAUUAAAUAAGUAAAAUGUAUAUGAUGGAUUUCAGAAAUGGGAAGUGUAGUUUUUACUAAGUGAGUUGUUCCAUAAGCCAUAAAAUCCAUAGACAAACUAUUUUAUCCUAAUAUUUAUAUCUACUUUCCCAAGAUACAAAACAUUUUUAGAAAAUACUUCAUUCAACUCAUUUCAUUUUUCAUUAAUCCUUAAAAAGGUGUUAUGGCAAAAUUUAUUUACCUACAUUUAGAAUUAGACAAAAUCUUAUAUAAUGGAAAUUUUGUAAACAUUUUUAAGUGACUGGUGAAAUUUGAGGAUAAUGCUGAAAAUGAUAUAAACCAUGGAGACUGUUACCUCCUUCUUUCUGUCAUGGAUGUCGAAUGAGUGCCAGAUUAGUAAACACAGGUGUGCCCACACAUACACACAUGAAGUUGUGUCACUGAAAUAUUCAAAACAGCAAUAAGGACAAUUGAUAUUGAGUUACAUAUUAAAUGUGAUGAUUUAUUUUAGCAUCUUAAUAUAUAUCUUAAUGUUUCUAUAUUAUUUCUUCUCACUUUGGAAUUUAUUGCCAUAUAAGAUCCAUCAUGAUAUAAAUAUUUGCUAAGCAUACAUGGCCAUUGAACAUCCUAUAUCAUGUUUAAACAUAUUCUUUUUAUAAAAGUUUACAAUAGUACUUGUCUGUGUUAUUAAAUUAUUACAGUUCUUAAAAGUAUGUCAUUUAAAUUCUUCAAUAUCAUUGCUUAUGAUUAGGUAAUCAUGCUAUGGUUUCUGUCAUAGUUGAAAAUAUCUAACUUUCUAAAUCUCAAAAAAAAGUUUAAACUUUUCAAAUAUUAUUUGAACUUUGUGUACCCAGUAUAUUUCAGAUUAUAUCUUCUUAAUUAAAGUAAUCUAAAAGCAAUGUAAGUAUAAUGUGCUAAGGAGUACAAAGAGUCCCAAUUUUUCUGAUUAUAGACCUUAACCUUUCCCCAAAGGAACUAUAUAUGAC
rnacentral:lncRNA from 1 species